UGCAGUCGAGGGGUAUAGGUUUUCGGACCUAGAGACCGGCGCACGGGUGCGUAACGCGUAUGCAAUCUACCUUUUACAGAGGGAUAGCCCAGAGAAAUUUGGAUUAAUACCUCAUAGUAUAACAACUUCGCAUGAAGUCACUAUUAAAGUCACAACGGUAAAAGAUGAGCAUGCGUCCCAUUAGCUAGAUGGUAAGGUAACGGCUUACCAUGGCAACGAUGGGUAGGGGUCCUGAGAGGGAGAUCCCCCACACUGGUACUGAGACACGGACCAGACUCCUACGGGAGGCAGCAGUGAGGAAUAUUGGUCAAUGGGCGCAAGCCUGAACCAGCCAUGCCGCGUGCAGGAUGAAGCAUCUAUGGUGUGUAAACUGCUUUUGUACGAGAAGAAACACUACUUCGUGAAGUAGCUUGACGGUAUCGUAAGAAUAAGGACCGGCUAACUCCGUGCCAGCAGCCGCGGUAAUACGGAGGGUCCAAGCGUUAUCCGGAAUCAUUGGGUUUAAAGGGUCCGUAGGCGGUUUUGUAAGUCAGUGGUGAAAGCCCAUCGCUCAACGGUGGAACGGCCAUUGAUACUGCUAGACUUGAAUUAUUAUGAAGUAACUAGAAUAUGUAGUGUAGCGGUGAAAUGCUUAGAUAUUACAUGGAAUACCAAUUGCGAAGGCAGGUUACUACUAAUGGAUUGACGCUGAUGGACGAAAGCGUGGGGAGCGAACAGGAUUAGAUACCCUGGUAGUCCACGCCGUAAACGAUGGAUACUAGCUGUUCGGAGCAAUCUGAGUGGCUAAGCGAAAGUGAUAAGUAUCCCACCUGGGGAGUACGUUCGCAAGAAUGAACUCAAAGGAAUUGACGGGGGCCCGCACAAGCGGUGGAGCAUG
rnacentral:rRNA from 1 species